rnacentral:rRNA from 1 species
GCGGCCUAUCAGCUUGUUGGCGGGGUAAUGGCCCACCAAGGCAACGACGGGUAGCUGGUCUGAGAGGAUGGUCAGCCACACUGGGACUGAGACACGGCCCAGACUCCUACGGGAGGCAGCAGUGGGGAAUCUUGCGCAAUGGGCGAAAGCCUGACGCAGCAACGCCGCGUGCGGGAAGAAGGCUUUCGGGCUGUAAACCGCUUUCAGCAGGAACGAAAAUGACGGUACCUGCAGAAGAAGGAGCGGCCAACUAUGUGCCAGCAGCCGCGGUGACAYRUAGGCUUCAAGCGUUGUCCGGAUUUAUUGGGCGUAAAGAGCUCGUAGGCGGUUUAGUAAGUCGGGUGUUAAAACUCUGGGCUCAACCCGGAGACGCCAUCCGAUACUACUAUGACUUGAGUUCAGGAGGGGAGACUGGAAUUCCU